rnacentral:lncRNA from 1 species
UCCAUCUUGGGAGGUCUUCCAGGAGAAUCUGGAGUACUACUUCUCAUUGAGGGUGUAGUGAAGAUUCCUCUUCAGGGGUGGGUUCCACUAAGCUGUACUCUGGGUCCUUCUGAUGCUAAAAUUCUGUGAUUCACCCUCUCUACUCCUAGGCCUUUAUGAAUAGCUUCUCUCGGGCUGUGGCCUUGGAAUACCAGUCCUCUGGAGUUAUCAUACAGACUCUUACUCCUCUGGCAGUUUCCAGCAACAUGAGCCAGAUGCACCCACAAAAUUCUUGGUGAAGUCUUCAGAUGACUUUGCCAGAGAAGCCUUGGAUACGUAGGCGUCUCUAACUUCACCUGGGGGUGUUUCCUACACUCUGUCCACGUGAGUGACUGGGGUGCCCAUUGGGUUGAACUAAUAGGGAAGGUGUCCAGACCAACUCCUGGCGUGAUGGGUUGGCUAAGGAGGGAAGGAAGGAUACUCUUACAUGCCAGGAACUCUGCUAACCCCUUUACAAAGAUC